rnacentral:rRNA from 1 species
UACGAAGGGGGCUAGCGUUGUUCGGAAUCACUGGGCGUAAAGGGCGUGUAGGCGGUCUAUCAAGUCUGGUGUGAAAUCCCCUCGCUCAACGAGGGAACUGCGCCGGAAACUGACAGACUAGAGUACCGGAGAGGAAGGUGGAAUUCCCGGUGUAGCGGUGAAAUGCGUAGAUAUCUGGAGGAACACCGGUGGCGAAGGCGGCAUCCUGGACCAAUAUUGACGCUGAGGAGCGAAAGCCAGGGGAGCAAACGGG